rnacentral:rRNA from 1 species
AGCUUGCUUUCUUUGCUGGCGACCGGCGCACGGGUGAGUAACACGUAUCCACCUACCCUUUACUCGGGGAUAGCUUUCGAAAGAAAGAUUAAUACCCGAUAGCAUAAUGAUUCCGCAUGGUUUUCAUUAUUAAAGGAUUCCGGUAAAGGAUGGGGAUGCGUUCCAUUAGGUUGUUGGUGGGGUAACGGCCCACCAAGCCUUCGAUGGAUAGGGGUUCUGAGAGGAAGGUCCCCCACAUUGGAACUGAGACACGGUCCAAACUCCUACGGGAGGCAGCAUG